rnacentral:rRNA from 1 species
UAGGGAAUCUUCGGCAAUGGACGGAAGUCUGACCGAGCAACGCCGCGUGAGUGAAGAAGGUUUUCGGAUCGUAAAGCUCUGUUGUAAGAGAAGAACGAGUGUGAGAGUGGAAAGUUCACACUGUGACGGUAUCUUACCAGAAAGGGACGGCUAACUACGUGCCAGCAGCCGCGGUAAUACGUAGGUCCCGAGCGUUGUCCGGAUUUAUUGGGCGUAAAGCGAGCGCAGGCGGUUAGAUAAGUCUGAAGUUAAAGGCUGUGGCUUAACCAUAGUACGCUUUGGAAACUGUUUAACUUGAGUGCAAGAGGGGAGAGUGGAAUUCCAUGUGUAGCGGUGAAAUGCGUAGAUAUAUGGAGGAACACCGGUGGCGAAAGCGGCUCUCUGGCUUGUAACUGACGCUGGGGCUCGAAAGCGUGGGGAGCAAACAGGAUUAGAUACCCUGGUAGUCCACGCCGUAAACGGUGAGUGCUAGGUGUUAGACCCUUUCCGGGGUUUAGUGCCGCAGCUAACGCAUUAAGCACUCCGCCUGGGGAGUACGACCGCAAGGUUG